rnacentral:rRNA from 1 species
CGUACCCCAAACCAACACAGGUGGUCAGGUAGAGAAUACCGAGGCGUACGAGUGAACUAUGGUUAAGGAACUCGGCAAAAUGCCCCCGUAACUUCGGGAGAAGGGGGACCCACGUACCGUCAUGGCUGUUGCGGCCGGCAGCGGGGGUGGGUGGCACAAACCAGUGAGAAGCGACUGUUUACUAAAAACACAGGUCCGUGCGAAGUCGCAAGACGAUGUAUACGGACUGACGCCUGCCCGGUGCUGGAAGGUUAA